ACUUUUUCUAUUUUUUCUAAGUUUGGCUUUACGUCUUUCUCCUCUAUUUGAAUUGUCUCAUUCAAGCUUCUUUAUGGAGUUUCUUUGAAUGGGUUUUCUAUUUUAGUUUUGCAGAGUUUUAAACUAGAUGUUUCAUGAUUUGGAUUGAAAUUUCCAAUUAAUUAGUGUAUUAUUUCUUAGUUUUAGGUUUGGAUCUGAUUUUUUUGAUUAUUUUAUAUUUGUGUAUUUAUUUUUGUAGUGUGUGCAUCUUCAAAAACAAUUGGGAUGCUUUCUUAGAUAUUUGUGUUUUUUUGUUUGUUUACUCGUAAACGCUUCAAUUUGAUCUUUCUCUAAUAUGUCUGCGAAUUCUUGUGUUUUUGUGAAAUUUUAUUUCAUUUCAUUUAUUCAUCUGUUCGUUCUUAAUUUAUUCCCGAGUAAGCCCUCCAAUUCGAUCUUUUCUCUAAUAUGAUUGUAAUUUAUUUUCUUUUGUGAAAUUUUCCUCAAUUAUCUUUUCUCGACGUGCAUAUUCUGUUUCACAUUUUAGUUUUCUUUGCUUCUUAUGAAGUUUGCUCUCAAACAACGUGUCCUUCAUUUCCCACAAUGUUUGAUGAUAUGCCUGAAUUAACUGAAUAAUUUAUUGAGUUUUUUCUAUUUUCACAUGUGUUUUUCAAGAUUCUCGUCUAUAAGGUACAAUAUUUUUUUUAAUUGGACUAUAUUUGUGAUCCAUAUAUGUGUGGUAUUAUCAUUAUGAUUCUCCAAUGCUUUUAUGUGUUUCUAGAACUCUGAAUGCCCUAGAGGAUAAUUCAUAAGAGAAUAUGAAAUCAAAUAGUGUAACACUUCUUUCAAUGAUUUAGUGUACUAAGAUUUGCUUUGGGAUGUUAGUAUAAGUUUUAUGUCAUUUUAGGUUCUUGAUAUUUACUUCAAUAAUUAGCAUAAGAUCAUAGAUAUGCCAGGUAUUGGGUACAAAAGGCACCAAUUAGAUCUUAGGAGAUAUGAUCCUUGUCGAGUGAAAUAAAUACAUAUUAUGAGUAAAUAUUGAAUGACAAAGAACAUAUAUAGUGAGGUUCAAAAUUUUUGCUUCUAUAUUCCCCAUAUGAAAUGUUAAAUUAAGGCAAUUUCUUACUUCAAGUUGUGACCUAUUCUUGUGGUGUAAAAUCCAUGUAUCAUCGAAUUGAAUAUGAAGGUAAAAAAACCCACGUAAAGUAAGACUUUAGAGGUUUGCUUUCCUUUGGAAAUCAUUUAUCGAUAAAUCCAUUGAACUUUGAAGGAACAUAAUGGUCCAUUGAUUCGAAGUACAUACAUAACACGUUCUUCCAAUAGACAAAUUACUUCCCACGAAGUCAACAAUUCAAGGGGAAGGCUUAAACCCCAGAAGUUGAAGAUAACAAGGGUCAAGACUUAAUUUCUUUCGUCACUUGUGUUAAGUAGACAAGAGAAUUCUUCGGAGUGCACGCUGAGGAUGCGAAACGAUUUCAUUCCUAUUUGACUUUUAGAGUCAUAACUUCUAUAUAUUCCCACGGCAAGAAAUUCCGGACAGAAACCAACCACGUGAGUUCCUUUGCCAGACAACAUCACUUGAUUUCUUAACAGAAUACCAGGUUGAUUUCAAUAUGUGCAUACGUGAAGGUAAGUCCUUAACACAUUCGUUCGUUCUCUUGGACAAUUUAUUGAGAUCGUAGGACAUUGUUAAUUUGCAGUUUUAUAUUACCUGACUCGAACACCCUGUCUCCUAAAUGAUCUGCAUCUUUAUCAUCUUCGAUGAAACUACUUGAUUACUUUUAAUCAUUAGAUGUGCUAGAGGAGUGAGUCUGUUUUCAAAGAACUCAUCUUUUUAUUCAGUUUUCACUUAUAUUGUUCGGAAUCUUUAAAGAUACCAAUGAGUGCAUGUCGGAUUCGCUAAAAGUAGUGUAUAUUUCGAGUAUCCAACACGUGCAGUGUUAAAUUUUUUAUUUUACUGUCAAAAGGCUUUCCAGUCUGCUAGAAGAGAGAGGCAAAGCAAAAACUGAAAUAGAUCUUAUCUCAAUAGGUUUCUCUCAGUCAUUUUAGUCAUUUUUUCAUAUUGAGCUUACUAUUAUCCCGAGUUGAGAAAGCUCUGGAGGAGGUUGCGAGGGUUUCUGCAACUGUUGCGUUAUGGGUAAGGGAACAGGAAGCUUUGGUAAGAGGAGGAACAAGACCCACACACUACGAGUGAGGUGUGGAAGACGGAGCUUCCAUCUCCAGAAGAGCCGUUGCUCUGCUUGUGCUUACCGUCCUGCCCAUAAAAGGGAUACAAUUGGAGUUUGAAAGCUAUUCGCAGAAAAAGACAACUACAACUGGCCACAUGAGGUAUCUUUAGAAUGUCCCCCGCAGGUUCUUGGCCAAUUUCAGAGAAGGUACUGAAGCACCUCCUAGGAAAAAGGGAGUAGCUUCUUCUUGAGGCCUUUGAGACAGUUACUUGAGAGGCUAUUACUGGUAGCUUCAUUCUACCUUAGGUUUUGUUGCCCUUUAAAAGAUUUAUGUGCUUAAAAUUUUCGAAGUCCAUAUUUCAACUUGGCAUUUUUAUGAAGAAGGAUCUUAAGACUGCGAUAACUUAUUGGAAAAAACAAGCUUACCAUUAUUUCAUAUUGAGAUUACACAAGUCUUUUGAGAUCUAUUUGGAAGGCCCACGUGUUCAUCAUUAUGCUUCUUUGAAUUGAAUUAUAAUAGAUGGUGUGCAAUUGCUCCAUAGGUUGGUGACCUAAAAAAGAUUGGAGCAAAAUUUCCCGUCGAGUAUGUUAUGUUAAUAUUAUAAUAUUUUAGUUGGUUUGUAAGUGACAGUUUAAUUGGAAA